rfam:Theileria parva strain Muguga chromosome 2 chr2_complete, whole genome shotgun sequence.
GGGCCGAUGGUGUAGGGGUAUCACGUUUGCUUUGCACGCAAAAGGUCUCGGGUUCGAAUCCCGAUUGGUCCA